GAUGAAGAACGUAGCGAAAUGCGAUAAGUAGUGUGAAUUGCAGAAUUCAGUGAAUCAUCGAAUCUUUGAACGCACAUUGCGGCCAUAGGUAUUCCUUUGGCCAUGCCUGUUCGAGCGUCAUUUACACCCUCAAGCCUAGCUUGGUGUUGGGCGUCUGUCCCGCCGUUCUCGCGCGCGGACUCGCCUCAAAGUCAUUGGCGGCGGUCGUGCCGGCCCCCUCGCGCAGCACAUUUGCGCUUCUCGGAGGCCCGGCGGAUCCGCGCUCCAGCAAGACCUUUCACGACUUGACCUCGGAUCAGGUAGGGAUACCCGCUGAACUUAAGCAUAUCAAUAACGGAGGA
rnacentral:misc_RNA from 1 species